UAAAACUUAAUGGUGAAAUUUGCUUUGAAACAACAAUAUCCACAUGUAAAAGAAAUAGAGACGAUAUCUACUGAAAGUUCGCUGCAAAUGGAAGAACUUUUUUUCAUUCAGGUGUUCUUUUGAUCAUUGGCGUACCUUGGACGAUCAUUGGCGUACCUUGGCCUCAGAGCAGGGGCUCACUAUUUUCUAAUUCACUAACAGAACUCCGGACCCAAAAUUAGUAAAUGGAUGUUCUCCAGGUUAGGAUACAAUACUGCUAACUAUAUUUGCUACCCCACCUCAACGAUCACACCUCAGAACCUGCAACCCGAAUGCUCGGAACUGGUUUCGUUUUACUUUGUCACUAAUAGUGUGUUAAUUCACCACUGUCUAGCCCCUAGCCCUGCACCAUUUUUCAUUUUUGAUUGUUAAUUCACCCAUAUUAUCCUGCACACCAACCUAGCCAAGAAACAUAGCUAGCAAACAAAGCAAGAAUGUAGAACAUGUAGUGUGGUUAACUGAUAAGAUUGAUCAAACACCAUUAAAAGACAUUCUUAAAAAAAUAAUGUCAAAGUAGGCAAUGAACAUGAAGAGUCGGUCAACACUUACGUAUAAAUUCUAAACAUGGGAGAAAAAUUAGUUUCAUGUGAAAACUGAAGGGAAGGCACAUGAUGUGAACUUCUGACAAUAUAAACAAUAUUCUCAUUCAUGAAAUUCUGAAGUUACCACCGCCUAUACGAAUAGGAUGGCAUUGGUUAGGACGUUAGGUACACUAUACUUUCAAAGAUGAUCGGAAAAAAUACAGGAUGAGAGAUACCUUGUCAAUUGAACAAGCUCAACCAAGAUAGUUAGAUGAGAUCUCCUAGUUCU
rnacentral:lncRNA from 1 species